GCCAGACGUGGUGGUGCAUGCCUGUAAUCCCAACUACUUGGGAGGCUGAGACUGGAGGAUUGCUUGAGUCCAGGAGUUCUGGGCUGUAGUGUGCUAUGCCAAGUGGGUGUCCAUACUAAGUUCGGCAUCAAUAUGAUGAUCUCCUGGGAGUGGGGGACCACCAGGUUGCCUAAGGAGGGGUGAACUGGCCCAAGUCACAAAUGGAGCAGGUCAAAACUCCCAUGCUGAUCAGUAGUGGGAUUGUGCCUGUGAAUAGCCACUGCACUCCUGCCUGGGCAACAUAGCAAGACUCCAUCUCU
rnacentral:SRP_RNA from 1 species